UUAGGUGUGAGGGUCACAGC
rnacentral:miRNA from 1 species